rnacentral:lncRNA from 10 species
GCGGGCAGAGCUGCGGGGGUCCGAGUUCCACAGCUUCCAGCUCUGGGGAAGGGGAGGAGAGGGGCCUUCACCUCUACGGCUGACCCCCUUCCCUGAGGGUCGCCGGGGAGAGGAGGAGAAGAGACAGAGGGAGAGUGAAAGAGGGCAGAGAGGGAGAGAAGCAGGACGGGAGAGGGAAGGGGAAAUGAGGGAGAGAGAGGGAGGAGGAAGCGAAAGAAAAGGGGACGGGAGGAGGGGCGAGGGGUUGGGAGAGCGGGAGGUUGGGACGCAGCGGGGAGGAGGCGAAGGCCUGGGUACGGGAGGAGAGAGGGCGCGGGAGGGGAGGAGGCCGGGCUGGGCCCUGGGAAGUCGCUGGCUGAGGCCGCCGGCAGUUUCUCCCGUCGAAGGGCAGCGUGAACCUCGGCUUCUUACUGCGCAGCCGGAGGCACCCGGGGCCAGGAGCGGAAGUCCGAGGGGACCCCACGGCGGAGGAGCGGCAGAGCCCGGGCCCCGCGGGAGAGAGAGGCGGGAGCCUCUCACACGUGGUAACAGUUGAUCGGCGGAUUCCACUUACUGUGACUAUCCAGUCUCCUCUAGGCCUUUGGACAUCUGAAAGGCAGUGUUAAGAGCCCAACUCUGGAGAUGGACUUUGGCUCCACCACCAAGUAUUAAUAGCUCUGUGACUUGGGGCAAGUUACUUAACCUCCCUACACCACAGUUUCCACUGCUGUAAAUUGGGGAUGAUGAUAAUAACAGCCACCUCACAAGGUUGCCUGGAGAUUUGAUUAAAUGAAAUAAUUAGCAUGGAGUUUAUCUAGUCUUACCUGUCAGAGUCAAGAGCCUUCUUUCUCCUAAGCUGACCUUAGUAUCUCCCCCUGUCCGCCCCCUUUACUUUGGAUCCUAACUCAUAAAACGGGAUUGCUUGACAGUAUGUUUUCUUUGUGUACAGAUAGCUUGUUUCUUCAACCUACAUUUUAAGUUCUUUCAACAGUCACUUUUAUUUCUAUGCACACUUAAAGGCACCAACUUAGUGCAUUGCACACAACUUGUGUUCAAUAAAUUUUUGUUGAUUGAAUGAUAAAUAAAACCUCAGUGAUACCUAGAAAGAGAUUUUUCUAGAAAAUUUGAAGGUAUAGAAAAGAAAAACUCUUCAUAGGGCAGGAUGAGUAGAAUAAAACUUGAGAUAUGAAGUCAACUUUGUUAGUUUAGAACCAUAAAAAUGUAUCAUGUAGAGUAAUCUCAACUAUGUAAAGAAAACUGCAAAACAAAACUGGAAGUAAACAUGCCAGAUUUUAUAGUUGAUGUCUUAGUGUAGGAGGAGUAUGAGUGAUUUUUUUCCCCUCCUGUUUUAUACUUUUUAGUCCUUUCCAGCUUUUCCAUGGUCAAUAUGUGUUUCUGAGUUGCUCAGGAAAAGUACUUCUAUUAUCCAUAUAAUUUAGCCAAUCAAAAUGAUCACAUUUUGGAUAUUUAGAGAUGUGAUGACCUUGGAGGAAAAAAAAAAUCAUGAGAACAAAACAAUUGCGUUCCUCUAAGUUUUCCUUCAUUUUUUUUCCCCAGAGCAGCCACCCUUUACUGAUUUGUGCCAGAAAAUCAAUUUGUCAGUUUGAAGUGUAGAGAUAUUUCCUUUUCAGGGACCAGAAUAUUUGUCUUUCCUAUCUAGGGGACUUCCUUUGAAGUGUCAAGAUUCCAGGCAGGGAAUCAGCAUUGUAGAAGGGUCUUGGACUAAAUUCAGAGCCAAGGCAAAGUGAGGCAAAUUAUCUUAAUGAUUAUUUCAACUAGCUUAGUGAACUUUCACCUUUUCAGUGAUUUAUUUUAUUUAUUUAUUUUUUUUAGACAGGGACUUGCUCUGUGCAGGCUAGAAUGCAGUGGUGCAAUCAUAGCUCACUGAAGCCUUGAACCUCUGGGCUCAAACGAUCCUCCUGCCCCAGCUUCCCAAGUAGCUGGGACUACAGGCAUGCAUUACCAUGCCCAGCUAAUAUUUUAAAUUUUUGGUAGAGAUGGGGUCUUGCCCAGGGUGGCCUUGAACUCCUGGCCUCAAGCAAUCCUCCUGCCUUGGCCUCCCAAAGCUCUGGGAUUACCGACAUGAGCCACCGUGCUGGCCUCCUGUGAUUUCUUUCUUUAUUUAUUUACUAUUAUUUUUAUUUUUUUCUUUCAAGGCUUUAGGAUGUACCAGUGAUCUUCUGUUUAUAUUACUGUAACAUAAAAAAAACACACACAACAACUUACAAAGUUAUAAUUCACUCAACUGGAGUUACCUUCCACUUUUACUGAAAAUUAGGACAACACUUCAAUUUAUCUGUGCAUAGAGUCAUUCAUUCAACAAAAAUUUACUAAGUGCCAGGCCAUGUGCUGAUGCUGGAAAUGAGAAAUAAGACCUGGUCCUUAUCUUUCAGAAGUUUAGGGUCUAGUUGAUGAACACUCAUAUACAAACAGUGAUAUGUAGAAAAUUGUCUCAAGGGCUUCGGUAGAUCCAGGUAGACAGACUUACAGCAGCUAGUGGGACAAAAAUGAGAAGCCAGUUCUAGUUGGGCAGGGAGACAGCAAAGAGGAGGGAGCAGAAAAGAACUUCAGAGACAACCAGUUAUCUGGGCUGAUUAUGAAUCUUUAGCUUAUAAGUGGGUAGUAUUUCCUGACGUGAGGCUAUUGUUUUUUUUUGUACUUUGUCGUAAUCAUGUUGUCUUACAUACUGUCUAUCUGAUUACUUUCUCUGCUACAUUAAGGAUAUGCUUCAUGAUUCUUUCCAUCAUUGAGAAAUGCAAUGAGUUUAUAACAUUUAAAUCCUAUUCCAUCAUAGUCUAAGAACUGACCAAAUUUUAAAAAUAUAUCAAUCAUUUUAUCAGGUAACAUUGAAAUUUGUAAAAUACAAAAACCCUAAACUUUUUACUUUUACUUAAAGUGUAUAAUUGUACAUUCAUUCCUCAAUGAUUAGAUGUUGGGCUCAGUGUUGGAAUCCUCUGAUUGAAAUUACUCAUUGUUUUUCUUGCAUUAACCCUGCCUGUGAUACACUGGGUUUAUGGUUUCCAGCCUUUGUUUUUCUAUAGAGAAGAGUGAGCUUAGACACUUAACAAACAAUAUGAGUGUGGAGUCUUUUAGGCUUUACACUUUCUUUUCCUAAUCUUUUAGUUUUUUAGCCCAUAACUAAUUUG